AUGACUUUUAACGAAGCUUACGAAACAAAGAUGGAUGUACCAAACGAUAAUUUAAAAGGUAAUAAUAAUAGUGAUAAUAAUGAAAAUAAAAAUGGAAAUAACAAUAAUACUUAUGAUUUGUCUAAAGCUGAUUAUAAAACAUGUACAACUAUGGAUAGCACAAAUAUACAAAAUACAAAUAAAGUCGAUCUUGAAAUUAACAAUUAUUCUGAAUCUGGCAACCAAAUAGCAUAUUAUAAUAAAACAUUAAAUAUGGAUACUUAUAAUAAAGAAUAUAAUAAUACACAAAUUAGUCCUAAUAAUAUUAAUAUCCUAACAACAUGUAAUUAUAAUGAUUAUAUGUACAUGCAACAGAUAUAUGCAGAUAAAAAUUUUUAUAAUCAGAUGGGUAACAAUAAUAAACUUAAUUUGUUACAAUCACAGAAUGGUAUUAUUGACCAUGGUAACAUCCAAAAUAAUAAUGUUUCUGAUAACGACUGUAGUACUAGUUAUAAAAAUAAUAAUAAAAGUAAUAACAUUAGUAAUAAUAAUAACAAUAGUACUAACUAUUAUGAUAUAUAUAGUUCAGAUAUGUCUCAUGGUAAAAACAACUCAAAUGAUUCUACUAAUUUAUUAAAUAAAAAUGUUAUGUAUAACAAUAAUAAUUUUUUACACAUGUCUGUUUUAAAUAAUACAUAUAAUUUGAGUCACAAUAAUAUAUCAAAUAUGAAUGAAAAUUAUAAUAACACCAACACAAAUAAUUAUGAUAGUAAUAACAAUACGUUAUUAAUGUAUGAUGACAACAAAAACGAAAAUUAUAUCGGUAAUAAUAAUAAUAAUGUUAACGAAUUAAAUCAAAUAGAAAAUGUAAUACCUAAUGAAACAGCUAUUUUAAAUACUAUUAAUCAAACACCUAAUUCGUUUAAGAAUUAUUAUAAUAUCGAUUUUUUAAUGAGUUUUUUAAUGAACAAACAAUCACAUGAGUAUAUGAACGAGAAAGACGUAAAGGUACAUAACAAUAGCUUCUAUACUAAUAGCAGUUACACUAAUAGCAGUUACACUAACGGUAGUUGCAUUAACGACAGUUGCAUUAACGACAGUUGCAUUAACGGUAGUUGCACCAAAAGUAGCACUAAUAACGGUUGUACUAAUAACGGUUGUACUAAUAACGGUUGUACUAAUAACGGUUGUACUAAUAACGGUUGUACUAAUAACGGUUGUACUAAUAACGGUUGUACUAAUAACGGUUAUACUAAUAACGGUUGUGCUAAUAACGGUUGUGCUAAUAAUGAUUGUGCUAACAAUGAUUGUGCUAACAAUGAUUAUACUGACAAAGAAAGUACUAACCAUAAUUUAAGGUAUGACUUUAACGGAAGUUAUUUCAUUUCAUCUGUCGGGUUUAGUAAUAGAAGCAAGAGAUGGACUAUAUGUCCUUCGAAAUUAUGUUGCCAAAGCGCCCUGGGUAGAUUCAAAUUGACUUGCAAUUUCAAAUUUUUGCAAUUCAAUCAAUAUGAUUCAAGUUUCAGAACACCUAAAGCUAUAUAUAACUGUUAUCGUGAAAUUAUGAAUUGUUACGAUUAUUUCACAUCAACAUUAUGUCCCCAACAAACAUAUUUGUCAAAGCAUAUAGCUCAAAAGCAGCACAUUAUAUUUGAUGCUUUUUGGCAUUUGUAUAAUACUGAAAAAUAUAAACAUAUACAAGACAUUAUAUUGUUUUUAGAUAAUAAUUUAUAUACUAGAGUAAUGUGGCUAUUAAAGAAGGGACAUAAUUUAAAUAAUUUUGAAGUCCAAAGAGCAGAAAGUAAAUUAAUAGAUUUAAUGCGUUUAGUACUUAAAUUUACAUAUGAAAAUAAAAAUGACAUUUCCACAGAUUUUACAAAAAAAACAUUUUUGUAUCCGCUAAGAAAUUCAAGUGUAAAUUUUGAAAUAAUGAAUAGACUUUUAUUUCACUAAAUGAUGGGGUGUUUGUAUCAAAAAACUAGCAAAACAUGUAUAUAUACACAGUUUACUAGUUUUUUUCGAUUAUUUAAUUUUGUAAUUUUGUAAAUUUGUAAAUUUGCAAAAUUUUAAAGCAUAAUAAAAAUAAAUACUAUACAACA
rnacentral:lncRNA from 1 species